CGAGGGUCGACGGCAGCCACUCACUUUUGCUGUCGGAGACUUUGUGUUUGUGAGCAAGACUGCACAAAUCACCGGCAAACUGGACUCCGGCAUGCGCGGGCCUUACAAGGUUAUUCGCGCGUUACCGUGCCACCGUUAUGAGUUAGAGCUACUAGCUGGUUCCUAUGGGAAAAAGACCCAAGCUGCAGCUGAAAAUAUGAUGUUGUGGCAAGGCGAGUGGACGCCGGAUGCGUGCUCAGUUUUUUUUGAGACUGAGACUGCAUUAGACAAUAAUGAGCAGGUUGCAAGGGAUGAAACAAAUGAAGAGAGAAAUGGCUCUGAUGCUAGUGGUGCAAGUAAUGCUGCGGUCGAGGACGCCGCACUGUCAGGAACGGCCGUCUUAUAAAACAAUCUCCACAGAGCAAGUCGGACCGAGUGAGGGGUAACAGAGAGGAGUGGAACUGGGAACACCGGAAAUGUGGCGAUUGGCGCGCGGACGUGACAGACGCGGGAGUUUUUUUGUUAUUUAUGGUGGCGUUGUGUAAAAGAUUGUCUUCUGGUUGCGUAUAAUUUUCAUUGUGGUAUUUUAGUUAAUUAAAAAUUGUUUUGUAAGGAAUAAAACUUCCUAGGUUGAGUG